rnacentral:rRNA from 1 species
AGUGAACGCUGGCGGUAGGCCUAACACAUGCAAGUCGAACGGCAGCACAGUAAGAGCUUGCUCUUACGGGUGGCGAGUGGCGGACGGGUGAGGAAUACAUCGGAAUCUACUUUUUCGUGGGGGAUAACGUAGGGAAACUUACGCUAAUACCGCAUACGACCUACGGGUGAAAGCAGGGGAUCUUCGGACCUUGCGCGAUUGAAUGAGCCGAUGUCGGAUUAGCUAGUUGGCGGGGUAAAGGCCCACCAAGGCGACGAGCCGUAGCUGGUCUGAGAGGAUGAUCAGCCACACUGGAACUGAGACACGGUCCAGACUCCUACGGGAGGCAGCAGUGGGGAAUAUUGGACAAUGGGCGCAAGCCUGAUCCAGCCAUACCGCGUGGGUGAAGAAGGCCCUCGGGUUGUAAAGCCCUUUUGUUGGGAAAGAAAAGCAGCAGGUUAAUACCCCGCUGUUCUGACGGUACCCAAAGAAUAAGCACCGGCUAACUUCGUG